AGCCUUGCGCAGUGGCAGUAUCGUGGCCAAUGAGGUUUAUCCGAGGUGCAAUUAUUGCUAAUAGAGUAGCAAAACCCUAUUUAUUUACUCUACCUGGUUUAAUGAGUCUGACCUACUUUCGUCAGGAAAAAAAAAAAGU